UAGUGGCCUCAAAGGCUUCCACUACUGCAUGUUUCUGUGGUUUAAUAUCCUGAAACAAGUGGUAGUGGAUGCCUAGAGGUCCAUUAAAAGCAAUGCUCAUGUUUUUAUCCUCUGAAAUUUCUACAAUAUAUUUUGUAGCCAAAUACUGUGA
rnacentral:pre_miRNA from 1 species